AGUACCGUGAGGGAAAGGUGAAAAGAACCCCGGGAGGGGAGUGAAAUAGUACCUGAAACCUUGUGCUUACAAGCAGUCACAGCCCGUUAACGGGUGGUGGCGUACUUUUUGUAGAACGGUCCGGCGAGUUAUAGUCACUAGCGAGCUUAAGGUAUUCAGUACCGGAGGCGUAGGGAAACCGAGUCUGAACAGGGCGUAUGAAGUUAGUGGCCAUAGACCCGAAACCAUGUGACCUAGCCAUGAGCAGGAUGAAGUGGAGGUAAAGCUCCAUGGAGGUCCGAACGCACGUUCGUUGCAAUGACCGGCGAUGACUUGUGGCUAGCGGUGAAAUUCCAAUCGAACUUGGAGAUAGCUGGUUCUCCCCGAAAUAGCUUUAGGGCUAGCGUUGGGAAUGAGUUUAGCGGAGGUAAAGCACUGAAUGAGCUAGGGGGCGCAAGCUUACUGAACUCUAUCAAACUAAGAAUGCCGCAUAAAUGCUUCCCAGCAGUCAGACUGCGAGUAAUAAAAUCCGUGGUCAAAAGGGUAACAGCCCAGACCCACAGCUAAGGUCCCCAAUACAUGCUAAGUGGAAAACGAUGUGAGAUUGCAUAAACAACCAGGAUGUUGGCUUAGAGGCAGCCACUCGUUCAAAGAGUGCGUAAUAGCUCACUGGUCGAGUGAUCUUGCGCGGAAAAUUUAACGGGGCUAAGCAUGUAACCGAAGCUUGGGAUUGCGCAAUUGCGCAGUGGUAGGGGAGCGUCGUGUACGGGGUGAAGUCGCACCGGAAGGAGCGGUGGACUGUACACGAGUGAGAAUGCCGGAAUGAGUAGCGAGAAUUAUGUGGGAAUCAUAAUGGCCGAAAAUCUAAGGUUUCUUGGGGAAGGUUCGUCCGCCCAAGGUAAGCCGGGAGCUAAGGCGAGGCCGAAAGGCGUAGUCGAUGCACAUACGGUUGAAAUUCCGUAGCCACCUUAUCGAUCAAAGCUGACACAUGGAGAUAGCCGAACCCGGGCGUUGGUUGACCCGGGCGAAAGGGACCGAACUACAGUAGGGAAGUCGGCGAUGCUCUGUGGCGAGAAAAGGCGAAGAUAGGGUGCCCGUACCGCAAACCGACACAGGUAGAUGAGGAGAGAAUCCUAAGGCCAACGGGAGAAGGGUUGUUAAGGAACUCGGCAAAUUGACCCCGUAACUUCGGAAGAAGGGGAGCCUCGAAAGAGGCCGCAGUGAAUAGGCCCAAGCAACUGUUUACCAAAAACACAGGUCUCUGCUAAAUCGAAAGAUGACGUAUAGGGGCUGACGCCUGCCCGGUGCUGGAAGGUUAAGAGGAGAGCUUAGCGCAAGCGAAGGUUUGAAUUUAAGCCCCAGUAAACGGCGGCCGUAACUAUAACGGUCCUAAGGUAGCGAAAUUCCUUGUCAGGUAAGUUCUGACCCGCA
rnacentral:rRNA from 1 species